CCUACGGGACGCAGCAGUGGGGAAUAUUGCACAAUGGGGGAAACCCUGAUGCAGCGACGCCGCGUGAGCGAUGAAGUAUUUCGGUAUGUAAAGCUCUAUCAGCAGGGAAGAAAAUGACGGUACCUGACUAAGAAGCCCCGGCUAACUACGUGCCAGCAGCCGCGGUAAUACGUAGGGGGCAAGCGUUAUCCGGAUUUACUGGGUGUAAAGGGAGCGUAGACGGCAUGGCAAGCCAGAUGUGAAAUACCGGGGCUCAACCCCGGGACUGCAUUUGGAACUGUUAAGCUGGAGUGUCGGAGAGGCAG
rnacentral:rRNA from 1 species